CUGGUUUCUCUUCCUAACGAAUAAAUCUUUCACCUUUUACUAAAGAUUUCCAUGGAGAGGAACAAUUAUG
rnacentral:snRNA from 1 species